rnacentral:rRNA from 1 species
UACGUAGGGCGCAAGCGUUAUCCGGAAUUAUUGGGCGUAAAGAGCUCGUAGGCGGUUUGUCGCGUCUGCCGUGAAAGUCCGGGGCUCAACUCCGGAUCUGCGGUGGGUACGGGCAGACUAGAGUGCAGUAGGGGAGACUGGAAUUCCUGGUGUAGCGGUGAAAUGCGCAGAUAUCAGGAGGAACACCGAUGGCGAAGGCAGGCCUCUGGGCUGUAACUGACGCUGAGGAGCGAAAGCAUGGGGAGCGAACAGG